rnacentral:rRNA from 1 species
CCUACGGGUGGCAGCAGUGGGGAAUAUUGCUCAAUGGGGGCAACCCUGAAGCAGCAACGCCGCGUGGAGGAUGAAGGUUUUCGGAUUGUAAACCCCUUUUGUUAAAGAAGAUAAUGACGGUACCUAACGAAUAAGCACCGGCUAACUCCGUGCCAGCAGCCGCGGUAAUACGGAGGGUGCCAGCGUUACUCGGAAUCACUGGGCGUAAAGAGCGCGUAGGCGGGAUAGCAAGUCAGAUGUGAAAUCCUAUGGCUUAACCAUAGAACUGCAUUUGAAACUGUGAUUCUAGAGUAUGGGAGAGGUAGGUGGAAUUCGUGGUGUAGGGGUGAAAUGCGUAGAGAUCAAGAGGAAUACUCAUGGCGAAGGCGACCUGCUAGAACAUAACUGACGCUGAUGCGCGAAAGCGUGGGGAGCAAACAGGAUUAGAUACCCGGGUAGUC